rnacentral:rRNA from 1 species
CCUACGGGAGGCUGCAGUGAGGAAUAUUGGUCAAUGGGCGGGAGCCUGAACCAGCCAAGUCGCGUGAGGGAAGACGGUCCUAUGGAUUGUAAACCUCUUUAGGCGGGGAGCAAUGCCGGGCACGCGUGCCCGGCGGGCGAGUCCCCGCAGAAUAAGCAUCGGCUAACUCCGUGCCAGCAGCCGCGGUAAUACGGAGGAUGAGAGCGUUAUCCGGAUUUAUUGGGUUUAAAGGGUGCGUAGGCGGAUUGUUAAGUCAGCGGUAAAAUGUCCGGGCUCAACCCGGGCCGGCCGUUGAAACUGGGGAGCUUGAGUGGGCGAGAAGUAGGCGGAAUGCGUGGUGUAGCGGUGAAAUGCAUAGAUAUCACGCAGAACUCCGAUUGCGAAGGCAGCAUACCGGAGCGCGACUGACGCUGAGGCACGAAAGCGUGGGGAUCGAACAGGAUUAGAUACCCUAGUAGUC